GCCAAAUGACAUAAUUGACACAGACUUGCACAUGAGCAUCAGACUGCUGCCAAGAAAUAUGGAAGUGGCACCCUGGGGAAGGAAUUCUGGAAUGUGUGUUGCUGUGAGGUCCAAGUAGCAGAAGGAUUAUUAUGGGACUUUGUGGCUCAUGAACAACUUCCAGAUCAGAUGGUCUUUGGAGGAUUUGAUAUGCCACUCCCUGAAUCACCUGGAUGCUGCCUGGGAUGCUGAAUACUUCCAUCAUUUUCUGAUUUUAUUUCCAAUUUCCAUUCUCUACAAUAUUUGGCUUUUCUCUUGCCAGGAGAAAUGUUGCUUUACUGUGAUUUACUGCAUUGAGGGAACCACGAAGGGAGGAAGGGUAAAUGUAAAAAAAAGACUAUAUAGGCACAAAGACAUGUCAGAAGCUGUUAUCACUUCCUAUAGGAGGUACAGUGAUCUCCACCUCUCACUAUCAUUCAUUUCUAGAAUAGGGAUUAAAUAACCACAGAGAGUCUGUAACUGUUCUGCAUCAGUUAGGAACACAUUUCUCAUUUUCAGUUCUCUCAAAACACAAAAUAUGAACAUAAAACCACAUAACCUUCACUAUCUAUUAUAUUUAUCAAUUUUCUUCUAAAAAUCAAAACCUUUAGUUGCACCUGUCAGUAACAAAAGAUGCUUUUAAAUUCCAGAGUUUCGAAAUGAAUAAACAGCUGAUCACUAAGAUGCCACUCUCAAAAUGGUAAACUGUGAUUGUAAUGGAGACCUGUAUGGCAGCUUGUGGCAAUUAUUCAUUUAUUUAUUGUCUUUAUUCUUGCAUGGGAUGAGACUAUGAUUAACAAGAGCAACAUUUGUUAUCCAUCCCUAAUUGCCCUUGAAUGGCUUGCUAGGCCAUUUCAGAGCACAGUUAAGAAUCCACCAAAUUACUGUGUGUCUAGAGUCACAUGUAACCCAGGCUGGGUGAGAACAGCAGAUCUUCCUCCCUAAAGGAUAUAAUGAAUUAAUUAUAUCUUUAUGAAAAUUGACAGUGGUUUUAUACUUACCAUCAAUAAGUUUAGCUUCAUAUUCCAAGUUUAUUGAUUGAAAUUAAAUUCCACCAACUGCCAGGGUAAAAUUGAAACCCAUGUCCCCAGAAUGUUAGCCUUAGCCCCUGGAUUAUUAGCCUAGUGAUGUUAUCACCACACCACCAUCUGCCCCAAACCCUUAGCAACCAGAAAAAUUGUAGAUCAAGAUUUGCUGGUUUUUUUUGUCAGUUCUAUAUGCCCAUGUCCUUAGGUUACUGACUUAGUACCACACAAAAAAGUUUCUCCUUAUUUACUGAAACAAUAUCCCUCUUAAUUUUGAACACCUCUACUAAACCAACCCUUAACUUUCUCUGCUGUAAAGAAAACAACCCCAGCCUAUCUCUUCUCCCCAAUUAACUGAAGUUUCUCAUCCCGGGUUACAUCGUAAAUGCAGCCUUUGAAAUUUAUAUGAUGAUAUGUUGAAAGGAUUUAUACAUAUAUGGAAGAUUUUUAGAUAGAUUUUAUAUAUACACACACAAAAAUGUUAACAUUAAUAAUGUCCUAAUGCUGAGAGGAUUUUUUUCCCCUCAUGGGAAAAGUCUAGGAUCAGAGAGCAUAGUCACAGAAUAAAGGGGUGCCAAUUUAUGACUGGGAUUUAAGAGGAAUUUCUUCUUUUAGAGAGUUUCUCUUUGGAGCUCCUUGGUCAGAGAGCUGUGGGGCCAGAAUCCUUGAGUAUAUUUAAGGUUGAGAUAGAAAGAUUCUUGAUCAGUUGGGGAAUCCGGGGUUUAAGGGGAAAGAGCAGGGAAGUUGACAUGAGGAAUGUCGAAUCAGCCAUGAUCCUAUUGAAUAGCAAAGCAGCCUUGAGGGGCCGAAUUGCCUACUCCUGGUCCUAUUUCAUAUGGUUUGAAAUAACCACUGUCAUGAGUGAAGGCACUCUUCAGUGUGUUACUAUGUCAGUACAGUCCUGAAGAUCCCAGGUUCAAAUCUUGAACUGGCAGUACCCAUCUCAUCUCCGCCCAACAGGAAUUAGCACCUCUAGUGAGGAGAAGUUGGGAACAAAACCAUACAUGAGUUGUGCUGACAUUUUCUGGAAGUGUUAAACUUGAACAAAUAAUAAACUGAUAUUUUGAAA